AGGAGAAGAUGGCGGAGGCAACGGACGGGUCGCGGUUGCGUGGCGUCGCCCACCACGACCCACUCCACGGGCUCUGAGGCCCGGGGAGCGCCAGGUCACUCGCUCCGUCCUGUCCCCCGCCCCUGGGCUUCGCCAUUUUUCCCCAGGGCCUGGGUCGGGGAGUUGGUGCGGGUUUCUUUGGUGUCCCCGGCCUCUUCCGCGCUUAGGCUUUUGGGGUACGGGAAGCAAGGAGUCAACUUGGGUGCCGGGCCGGGUCUACGCCGUAGCCCUCUUUCGGGCGCAAGGGCCACUCCCCCCGGGGUCUGAGAGUGAAUCAGCCCAGGGCCCGGCUUAACUGCAUCGGUGAUUAUCGCUACCCUGCAGUUCCUUGAAGGUCCUCCGUCCUGGAGCAGUAAGAUCCUUGACGUAACUAGAAAUGGCAGGGUAAGGAGUGUUUGCCUGACAUCGUCUCGUUUUUACGGAAGAGGGCCCCUCACGAUGUGCCCAUCAGCCCCACCUGAAAUAGCAAGAAAUCUUCUUCAGCAGAGAGCGAAUAACAAGGAUAUUAAGAUAAAGAACAGGUGAAGGGGGCAGUCAGCUGAAGCUUGUAAGGGAAUUUUCCUCACGCCGGCACUUACCCCUUGCUUGCUAAUUUUUGUGUUCAACGUGUUUACAUAGACAUGUGACUGCAAAGUCCGAAAGAUCGUGUACAGAAU
rnacentral:lncRNA from 1 species